rnacentral:misc_RNA from 1 species
GAUGAAGAACGUAGCGAAAUGCGAUACGUAAUGUGAAUUGCAGAAUUCAGUGAAUCAUCGAAUCUUUGAACGCAUAUUGCGCUCUCUGGUAUUCCGGAGAGCAUGCUUGUUUGAGUAUCAGUAAACACCUCAACUUCCAUAUCUUUUUUGAAAUGGGAGUUGGACUUGAGUGAUCCCAACGCUUUUCCUCACCGAAAAGUGGCGGGUUACUUGAAAUGCAGGUGCAGCUGGACUUUUCUCUGAGCUAUAAGCAUAUCUAUUUAGUCUGCCUAAACAGAUUAUUACCUUUGCUGCAGCUAACAUAAAGGAGAUUAGUUCUUGUGCUGACUGAUGCAGGAUUCACAAAGACAGGCUUCGGCCGACUUUGUAAACUCGAUCUCAAAUCAAGUAAGACUACCCGCUGAACUUAAGCAUAUCAAUAAGCGGAGGA